CCCGCCCGCCGGCAGCGCGAGCCGCUCGGGGCCGCCUCAGGAACGGUCUCAGAGCGAGCUGUCGGCUCGGUUUAAUUUGUGACACAAACUGUUGGUUCGUAAGUGCACGAUGUUCCUGCGAAGGAAAAAACACCCCACGCUCGCUCGCGUGGUGUCGUAGGAAGGCCAGAUGGGGAAAUCAGAGGCACUGGAUGCAAGUGUCCCUUCAAGGAUCGCAUAGUGCAACUACAGCUAGCAGGAACAGAACAGUGAGUGUGACUAUGCUGCCUGGAGGAUUUCUUGCCUGGCACUCUCUGCAGCUUCCACCUGGCUCUGAGGUCCAUAUCCUGCCUCCAGCAAUAUCUGCACAAGCCCCUACUUUGGGAGCUGUAUGA
rnacentral:lncRNA from 1 species